rnacentral:tRNA from 1 species
ACUUUCUUAAUAUAAUCAUUAUGAAUGACUUCCAAUCAUCUUAUCUUGGUGAAACUCCAAGAGAAAGUA